ensembl:lncRNA
CUGAAGAGGUGUGUCUUUAGUCUGAAGAUGUGAAGGUUCUCUGUGGUCCUGAUGUCUUCAGAGACCUCCUUCCACCAUUUAGGAGCAGGACAGCAAAGAGUGGAGAUCUAGUCGAGUGUUUUGCUCUCAGCGAGGAGGAACAAGCAGUUUAUCACAUGCAGAGCGGAGAGUGCGGGUCGGGAUGUCUGGUUGGACCAGGUCCUGGAUGUAAGCUGGACCCCAUCCAUUCACAGCACGUAGUUUCAGACUUUUAUGUUUUUGAAGAAUCGGCGCCAACGCAGCUCAACUUCUACUUGCUGCUGCACUGACUCGAACCCUCUUAACUCAACGAAACUCGACCUUCAGUUCAGACAGAAAGCUGCGACUUCCUCGACCGGCCGUCUGAUGUGUCGGAAUCCAUUCCAGUUCACCUUCUGGGGAGACGGUUCCCCCGCUGGGAAACGUCUGACGCGAUAGCAAACAGUUAAAAAAACAUGUCACAGUUCAUUCUGGGAGGAAAUGUCCAACUCUGCUGAGGCCCACUGAGCGCAGCUGGAGUCCGUCCCAAAGUUUGACUUAAUCCCUGUAAAGACAUCCGGCUGCGUGUGUUUGGAAUGAACUGAGACAGAACAGCUGAACGGUGAAGUUAUCAAAUCGAGCCAACAGGUCAAAUCCCAAAAGGAUGAGCAACCAAUGGGAGGCGAUCACGUGACCCGGGGGACGUCCCGCCAGGCGAAACACGCUGAGUUGUGUGGUUGAAUUAUUGUUUUUUGUGCGG